AUGACUGACACGGAAAGUCAUGUUCAUCAUAGACAUCUGGUUCAUAUAAUUAUAGAUGGAAACAAUGAUAUUGAGCAAAUCCAUCCAUCUCAAACUAAGGCUGGAGGACAGUUCUUAAAGGUUCGAAUUGAAUGCAGUGCAAAGGAAGGUUCCAAUCUUUUUUGGUAUUCCCAGAAACCGAAUGAAGCCCUGAAGAGGAUUAUCUCUGUGGUUGGGGAGAAGACUGUCUUUGAUGAGGGGCUUUUACUGGAAAAGUUUUCUGCUCACGUAGUGCAAAUCAAAGGCAAAAACAAUGUAAAGUAUCAACUUGAUAUAAAUAAUAUCACACAUGAAGAUGCUGCCAAUUACUUUUGCGCAAAAGGAGCUUCGUUAGGAAUUUCUCAUCAGGUGUUUAGUUCUGGCACCAAACUCAUUGUAGCAAGUAAGUACACCUUAUCCUUCCUUUCCAUGGUGUAA